CAGCAGCCGCGGUAAUACAGAGGUGGCGAGCGUUGUUCGGAUUUACUGGGCGUAAAGGGUGCGUAGGUGGUUCCGUAUGUCGGAUGUGAAAGCCCACCGCUUACCGGUGGAACGGCAUUCGAAACUGCGGGGCUAGAGUACAGGAUGGGAGAGCGGAAUUCUUGGUGUAGCGGUGAAAUGCGUUGAUAUCAAGAAGAACACCGGUGGCGAAGGCGGCUCUCUGGAAUGCUACUGACACUGAGGCACGAAAGCUGGGGGAGCGAACAGGAUUAGAUACCCUGGUAGUCCCGGCUGUAAACGGUGUGCACUUGGUGUGGGGGAGUAUUGACCCUUCCCCGUGCCGGAGCUAACGCGUUAAGUGCGCCGCCUGGGGAGUACGGCCGCAAGGUUAAAACUCAAAGAAAUUGACGGGGGCCCGCACAAGCGGAGGAGCAUGUGGCUCAAUUCGAUGCAACGCGAAGAACCUUACCAGGGCUUGACAUGCAGCUGCACGUCCGGUGAAAGUCGGAUUCCUUCGAGGGUGCUGCACAGGUGCUGCAUGGCUGUCGUCAGUUCGUGCCGUGAGGUGUUGGGUUAAGUCCCGCAACGAACGCAACCCUUGUGUCUAGUUGCCACCACAGGUGAUGAGCCUGUGAGCACUCUAGACAGACUGCCCGUACAAGCGGGAGGAAGGUGGGGACGACGUCAAGUCAGUAUGGCCCUUACGUCCUGGGCUGCACACGUGCUACAAUGGCCGGUACAGAGGGAUGCAAUGCCGCGAGGUGGAGCAAAUCCCGAAAACCGGCCCCAGUUCGGAUUGGAGUCUGCAACUCGACUCCAUGAAGUCGGAUUCGCUAGUAACGGCGCAUCAGCUACGGCGCCGUGAAUACGUUCCCGGGCCUUGUACACACCGCCCGU
rnacentral:rRNA from 1 species